rnacentral:rRNA from 1 species
GGUGAAAGGCUCAUUACAACAGCUAUAAUGUGCUUGAUUUUGAUUUGUUACGUGGAUAACUGUAGUAACUCUAGAGCUAAUACGUGCACCAAAGCUCCGAUUAAAUUGACGAGCGCAUCUAUUAGACUUAAAACCAAUCGAGUUGCUCCCAGUCUAUCGUUCCGUUGCAGCAUCAAUUGUGCAGCAAUGUAUAGUUGUGAUGCGGCGGGAUGUGGGUAGCGUUCACUCGUACGGUGGUGACUCUGAAUAGCUUUGCUGAUCGCAUGGUCUUGCACCGGCGACAUAUCUAUCAAGUAUCUGCCUUAUCAACUUUCGAUGGUAGUUUAUGUGCCUACCAUGGUUGUAACGGGUAACGGAGAAUAAGGGUUCGACUCCGGAGAGGGAGCCUGAGAAACGGCUACCACUUCCAAGGAAGGCAGCAGGCGCGCAAAUUACCCACUCUUAGCUCGAGGAGGUAGUGACGAAAAAUAACGAGACCGAACUCAUUGAGGCCGGUUAUCGGAAUGGGUACAAUUUAAACCCGUUAACGAGGAUCAAUGAGAGGGCAAGUCUGGUGCCAGCAGCCGCGGUAAUUCCAGCUCUCAAAGUGUAUAUCGUCAUUGCUGCGGUUAAAAAGCUCGUAGUUGGACAUAGGCCAUACGAUUCGGUGCAUCUGAAUUGAUGUGAACUGGAUUCGAUGGUUGCAAUUGCCGUGUGUCGGUGUCCUAUCGGGACGCCGCAUGGCAUAUGCUGGUUUUCGCUACGUUGCCUUAGUCGGUCGCGUAGUGUGACUGGCGAGUUUACCUUGAAAAAAUUAGAGUGCUCAACGCGGGCUAGCGCUUGAAUACUCGUGCAUGGAAUAAUGGAAUAGGAUCUUGGUUCUAUUUUGUUGGUUUUCUGAGCCAAGAUAAUGGUUAAGAGGGACAGACGGGGCAUUCGUAUCGCUGCGUGAGAGGUGAAAUUCUUGGACCGCAGCGAGACGCCCUACUGCGAAAGCAUUUGCCAAGAAUGUCUUCAUUAAUCAAGAACGAAAGUCAGAGGUUCGAAGGCGAUCAGAUACCGCCCUAGUUCUGACCGUAAACGAUACCAACUAGCGUUCCGUCAGUGGUAAUGUUACGCCUUGACGGGCAGCUUACCGGAAACGAAAGUGUCUCGGUUCCGGGGGAAGUAUGGUUGCAAAGCUGAAACUUAAAGAAAUUGACGGAAGGGCACCACCAGGAGUGGAGCCUGCGGCUUAAUUUGACUCAACACGGGAAAACUCACCUGGCCUGGACACCGUGAGGAUUGACAGAUUGAGAGCUCUUUCUUGAUUCGGUGGUUGGUGGUGCAUGGCCGUUCUUAGUUGGUGGAGUGAUUUGUCUGGUUAAUUCCGAUAACGAGCGAGACUCUAGCCUACUAAAUAGUUAGCAGGCACAGUGUGUGCCUGUUGAACUUCUUAGAGGGACAGCGGUGUUCAGCCGCAUGAAGUUGAGCAAUAACAGGUCUGUGAUGCCCUUAGAUGUUCAGGGCUGCACGCGCGCUACACUGGAGGAAUCAGCGUGCAUAUGUCCAUUGUCGAAAGGCAUUGGUAACCACUUGAAAAUCCUUCGUGCUCGGGAUCGGCAAUUGCAAUUAUUUGCCGUGAACGAGGAAUUCCUAGUAAGUGUGAGUCAUCAGCUCACGCUGAUUACGUCCCUGCCCUUUGUACACACCGCCCGUCGCUGCCCUGGACUGAGCCGUUUCGAGAAAAGCGGGGAUCACUGCUUGGAGACCCAUGUGGUUGAUAUGUUUAAGUGAGAACCGCGU